rnacentral:rRNA from 1 species
AGAGUUUGAUCAUGGCUCAGAACGAACGCUGGCGGCGUGCCUAACACAUGCAAGUCGAGCGAGAAAGGGGGGGCAACUCCCCGAGUACAGCGGCGAACGGGUGAGUAACACGUGGGCAACCUACCUCUCAGUCUGGGAUAACCCACCGAAAGGUGGGCUAAUACCAGAUGACGUCCCGGCGGGGCAUCUCGUAGGGACCAAAGGGGGCGAGCGUAAGCGGCUCUCGCUGAGAGAUGGGCCUGCGGCUGAUUAGCUAGUUGGUGGGGUAACGGCCCACCAAGGCGAUGAUCAGUAGCCGACCUGAGAGGGUGGCCGGCCACACUGGGACUGAGACACGGCCCAGACUCCUACGGGAGGCAGCAGUGGGGAAUAUUGCGCAAUGGGCGAAAGCCUGACGCAGCGACGCCGCGUGGGCGAUGAAGGCCUUCGGGUCGUAAAGCCCUGUCGGGUGGAACGAACGCCACGUCGGCGAAUAACCGGCGUGGCCGACGGUACCACCGAAGGAAGCCCCGGCUAACUACGUGCCAGCAGCCGCGGUAAUACGUAGGGGGCGAGCGUUGUUCGGAUUUACUGGGCGUAAAGCGCGCGUAGGCGGCUUCGCAAGUCCGAUGUGAAAGCCCCGGGCUCAGCCCGGGAUCCGCGUCGGAAACUGCGAGGCUUGAGUGCAGGAGAGGAGAGCGGAAUUCCCAGUGUAGCGGUG